GAUUCCACAGCUGGCAAUGGAGUGUGCACUGGAAAAAUCUAGCAAGCAGCACGGAAGGAUUCCUUGGAGCUGUUAAGGGCUGACAACUUUACCAGCCCCUCCACUUACGUCAUCGCUUCAGUGUGUGUGAGUAUGAGGCAAGCACUAGAUCGGACAAGGCCUCUAUAGCACAGAGCUGCAGAUGAGCAUCAGACCCUGAAUAAAUAAGCAGGCCUGCUGGAUGCUGUUUGCUCUGGGAAUGAGAACCGAAGACCCUGCUGAGUGAUGACAGAGCCGGUGCAUUGAGGAUCUGCAACUGAGAACACAGACCUUGAUAUUCUGCAGUUCAUUUAGCAGUCUUCGUAUGACAGGAAGGAGGGGGAGCUCAAACCGUGGAUUUUCAGUCUGCAAAACCUUUGACAGGUCACAAUGAGGAUGAUGCGAGGUAACCCUUUCCUAGCAGAGAGACUCGUCCAUUUCCUUUUAUCCCUGCAGUGAAGAAAUGCAGCCCAAGAUGUUCCCGGGAUUCUCUCCGGUGCUCAGGCUGUGAUGCCUUCAGGGUUUUUCUCCUGUCCUCUGGAGCUUUGUGGCUGCAUAAAAUUCCUAGCCAUAGACAGGGUGGGAUCAGUGUUUGAGAGAAGCACAUUGCCCCACAGAAAGACAUGGAGAAGCAGGAAGAAAUGAAGCCACAUGCUGACUUAAUACAGCUGUCACCAUGUCAGGGCUGUCCGGCAUGGCACAGCAGCAUAGUCCCUGAAGCUCUUAUAUGUCAGGACUCAGCCUUGGUGACAGAUAGGCAAGAAGGUGGAACCCCUUCGGUGGAUAUCGGCAAUGGGGUAGUUCUUGAACUGACGCCUGGGGUGCCAGAGCCUGGUCUAGAGGAAGUCAGAAACCAGUCAGUCCUGGUCCAAUCCCAGGAAAGCUCCCUGUGGGCCCCAGGCCAAUGGGAGGUGCCAAUGCAACCUCUGGAGAGCAUUAGGCUUCAGUGUGCAAUGGAGGGGCUCAGACACUACCAGACAGAUGGAUCCUCCAAGUGUUGUGCUGAUUACAGCUACCUGGUGACGCAGAACACGAAGCUCCUGCGGGCGCUAGAGGAGUUACAGCACUGCUGCACCAGCCUGAAGGAGGAAAACUGCCUGCUGCGGAAGAGCUACUUUCCCGAGACUGAGGAGAAGGUGAAGCACUUGAAGAGAAAGAAUGCAGAGCUGGCCCUGAUCGCAAAGCGCCUGGAGGAAAGAGCGAGAAAACUGCAGGAAGCAAACCUCAAGCUAGUAAAUGCUCCAGUGGCUAUGAAGGGCUCCAGCCUAGAGCUGUGUAAAAAAGCAUGUGCCCACCAGCGUGCCAAGGACCUGACAGAACAGGCCAGUGCCCUCCUAGCAAAAGAUAAACAGAUUGAAGCUUUGCAGCAUGAGUGUUGGGAGCUACAGGCGAAGCUCAUAGCUGGGAAGGAGGGCCCUCAUUGCCUGAACCUCCUAGACUUUGAUCACCUGUUGCGGGAAUCUCAGAAGGAAGUGUUACGGUUACAGAGACAGAUUGCACUGAAGAAUUUCAAGGAGUGUCUCCAGUCCUCUAAAACUGGUUCCAAAAGCUCUUCGUCAAUUGCUGCCAAUUGCUUGGGACCAUCUGUGCCAACUCUAGAUACCAGCAUAAAUUAUUCAUCUCUAUCAAAGGGGGUGCAAUUAGGAGAUCCAACACUAGCAAUGGAAGCACAUAGGAAGGUGGAGCCAGGAGUGCUACCUUUGGGACAUGCCUCAGAGGAGUAUGAGAACUUUCCUCCAAAAAGUGUGGUAGCAGACCCAGAGAGCAGUCAGCAAACACAGCAAUUGGAAUUUGAGCUCAGGAAAAAGCGUAAGAAAUGUGAAAACCUUGAACAUGAAGUGAGGAAAAAGCACAAAAGAUGCAAAGAAUUGGAAAUCCAGCUGCAGGUGGUGCAGGGUGAAAAUGCACGACUGGCUGAGGAGAACACUCAACUGAAUGGGAAGGCUGAAUGGGCACGACAGGUGGAAUCUGAAAAUGCCGACCUGAAGUUGCAGGUUGUUUUAGUUACUAAGGAACGGGAUUCUGCUCUUCAGAAGAGCCAAGGACUCCAAACCAAACUGGAGAAUCUAGAGCGGGUGCUGAAGCAUAUGAGAGAUGUGGCUGAGCGAAGGCAGCAUCUGGAGGCUGAACACAAGGAAGCCCAGCUAGCACUGCAGGAGAAACAAGAGGAGGUCAGAUGGUUGCAGCAGGCCCAGGCAGAGGCAAAAAGGGAACAUGAAGGAGCAGUGCAGCUACUGGAGAAUAACUUGGAUUGCAUGCAGGCCCAGGUGAGAGAUCUGGAGGAUCAGUGCCGCAGCCACAUCGAACAGUUCAACCUCCUGUCUCAGGAACUCAAACGAUUCCAGCUACAGGCAGGGAAGACUUGCCCUCUGACCUCAACAUUGGUGACUUCUGAGCUCCCGCUCGUGCCCUGCUGUUCCAUCCCUCAAUCCCAGUGCCGCCAGUGGGAGAAGGGUAACUGCUAUCCAGAUGUUGCCCCUGCACGUCCUGCUCUUCAGUGCACUAAGAAGAUUCAUGAUGAAAGGAGUAAAGAGCUGGAAUCAUUACCUCAGAUCCCUGAUCCCAUGUCUAGUGUCAUCAAAAUUCCAGUCUCAGGUGCUGCUGCCACGUCUCAGAAGCAAGUCAAGAGACUGGAGUCCCAGUCAAGCUCUUCGAAAUCAGAAUCCAUGCAGAACAGUCUCAAGUCCUGCCCCACUCCAGAGGUGGACACUGCAAGUGAAAUGGAAGAACUGGAUGUUGAUAGCAUCUCUUUGAUUCCAGAGUCAGAGAGCCAAGGCCCUGCAAAACUCCAAGUCUUCCUAGCUCGUUACAGCUAUAAUCCUUUCAAUGGUCCUAAUGAGAACCCGGAGUCAGAGCUCCCACUGACUGCUGGAGAGUAUAUUUACAUCUAUGGGGACAUGGACGAGGAUGGCUUCUUUGAAGGGGAGCUAAUGGAUGGCAGGAGAGGGCUGGUCCCCUCCAAUUUUGUUGAACGAGUUUCAGAUGAUGACCUCAUGACCUUUCUGCCUCCAGAGGUAAAUGAUCUCACCCAGAGCUCGCACCACGAGAGGAGCUUUGUCGGUGCAAGUACUAGCAGUGGAGAGAGAAGUGAUCACUCUGCUGACGAGGCCAGUGUCAGUCCAUUGCCUAGCAGACCAGAAGACCAAGAGGAGCCUGUCAAUCACACAGCAGUGCCUUACCCGAGAAAGCUGACUGUGAUCAAACAGCUCACCAGCGGCAUAGUUGUAGGCUGGGAGCCACCACUUUUGCCAGUUGGCAGUGCAGACAUACAGAGCUAUAACGUCUAUGUGGAUGCAGAGUUAUGCCAGAAUGUGAAGAGUGGCUCUCAAAUGAAAGCUGUGAUCGAGAAGCUGGACUUGGAGCUGAAAACCUAUCGCAUCUCUGUGCAAAGUGUGACAGAGCGAGGAAGCUCCGAUAAGCUGCGGUGCACUUUCUGUGUAGGGCAAGAUUUCUGCAUAGCACCAACGCUGCUGAAAAUCAGAAGCAUGACAGCGACCACAGCAGAGGUUACCUGGCUACCAUGCAACAGCAACUACGUUCAUGCAGUGUACCUCAAUGAGGAAGAGUGUGAUACCACAAAGCCAGGUGUCUACUGGUACACUUUCCACAGCCUGCGCCCUAGCACUCAGUACGUUGCCAAGGUGGAGGCCCGGCCCCCCAGGGUGCUCUGGGAGUUGUCCCAGGAGAGGCGUGAGCAGAAAUCAGCAGCGAUACAGUUCACUACUCCCUUAGCAGGAACUCCUGAUGCACCACUUGAUGUCCAAGCAGAGCCUGGCCCCUCAGCAGGCAUUCUGGUUAUCAGUUGGCUACCUGUCACCAUUGAUGCAGAAGGCUCAUCGAAUGGGGUCCGAGUUACUGGCUAUGCUGUGUAUGCCGAUGGACAGAAGGUGAUGGAAGUUGCAUCUCCAACUGCUGGCAGUGUCCUCGUGGAGCUGUCCCAGCUGCAGAUGUUCCAGGUGUGCCGGGAGGUCUCUGUGAGAACUAUGUCUCUGUAUGGAGAAUCCGCUGAUUCAGUGCCAGCCCAAAUCCCCUCAGCAUUGCUGAAAGCUUCCAGAUAUUCCUCACUAUCACAGGCUGUUGUUUCUACCAGUCUUCCUUCCAGACUGAUCUGUGGGGAACCCAAGGGCUCUCAUCCCAAGCGAAUGCCAGUUACACACUGCACAGCUCCGCUCUUCCCUCCACAGAAGUAUUCCACUGACAGUUCGGAUGCCAAAUUCACUGCCCACACCACUCCCAGCUGUGACAGCUCAGUGAAUUGUCUGCCAGGGAAGAUCUUCCCACACCUGCACCUCUCCUCUCCCCGGGUUUCCUCGGUGCAAGUGUUGGGCACAUCAUCCCUAGUUUCAGACACUGUAAGAGAUGAGCAAUGUCUGACUUCCCUUCCGCAGCCUGCGGGAGUGGGCGAAGAACCCGAGCCGUUGAGGGCAGCAGCGUUGAAGGGCCCUGGUGAAGACAUCCAGGCACAGGGGACGGAGGAGCUCUCUGUAAGCAACGGACCUGAGCUAGAAAGCGGUGAUGUGAAGAUGCCCCUGGAGACCUGCCACACGUGCUUUGUGGAGGAGCAGUUGAAAGAGUCAACCAUUGACAGAGAGAGGAAGGCAGAUGAGCAGUGCUUGAGUCCAGAGCCUCAGCUCUCCACCCACCAGGCUGGGCUGGGUGUGGACUGUUACAGAGACUCAGAUAGGACUGGAAACUCUGUUCAGGAAUUCCUAAGAGUGUCCCCUGGAAAGAAACUGAUGAAAGAAACUUCCCGAGGAGACUCUUCUCUGAUGGUGCCCAAAGUCAAAAGAGAGCAGGAAGAGAAAAUAGCAGAAGCAGGAAAACGGCAGCUGAAUCUGCUUGCUGAGCACAGCCGCAGCUCUGACCUGUCAGAUAUUUUGGAGGAGGAGGAGGAGGAGGAGGAGGACCUAUGUUCAGACAUGCAGGGAAAGAAGCAGUGGGACCCAAGGGCUUACUGCAGCGGAGAGAACGGGGGAAAGCUGGAGCCUUGCGACACCGAUAGCGAUGAGGAAAUUCUGGAGAGGCUUCUGGAGCUCUCACAUCAGCAGAACUGCAGCAAGAAGUUGUUUAGCAUUCCCGAAGUGACAGAGGAAGAGGAUGAAGAGGAGGAGGAAGAAAAGUGUGUACAUGUGGAGAAGAGAGAAUCCCCACACUGCUCCCUGGAGAGAGAUCCAUACCAUGCAGAAAGGAAGGGGACAUCCCAUCCCAUAAGUGUCCCUCAGGCAUUUCCAAACACAGGUGGUAAUGACACCUACCAAAAUCUUCCCAUGCAGGCUCCCCAAGAGGCUCUUAUCCUUCAGAAGACCAGAGAAGACUCUGACGAUGAGAAUCCUGCCUAUCUGGAGCUGAGCUGGACUCAGAAGAGGGGUAGCUGUAACUGGAGUUACCAGGAGAGUAGAAUGAAGCCCACUGCAGGCACAAGCCCCCAGUGGGGCAGAAAGAAAGGAGGUAAUUCUCAAGAAAGGGCCCAUGAUCUGCCUGAGGUGAGCAGGAAGAAACGGAGUGAUGUCAAAGAGCAGUGUAGUCGCCUGCUGAACACCUGCAGCCUGACAGGAGGCAGCUUGUACAGAGCCCAUAGUCUCAGGGAGAACCUGAAUGUCGUAAGCAGUGCUAGUGGCAAGAGUGGGUCAGAAAUCUGUGGUCAUGCAAGACCAGGCACCUUUAGAAAAUCCCACAGAAAGUUAAUGCCUUCAGACCUAGCAGACCCGGCUGCAUUGACAGCCCACUGCUUCAACACAAGGAGCCUCGAGAUCAAUAUUGAAUAUGACUCCGAGGAAGAUCAGGAUCUGACCUUCCCUUCCAGCCCCGGGAGCAGUGAAUGGCCAGAUGGCAGUGUGGAAGGGUCCCAGACUGGCUGUGAAGGGUGGAGUGAUUGCUCCAGUCAGUCUGAGUCUGCCCACUCUGAUGAGAGCACCCCGCUGACGAAACAAGAGUUUGGGGAAGAGGAGGGAAUGAAGUGGGCUGGGUCUCCAGGCCACCACCCACAGUUACCUUGCCCAGAGAAGGAGGCACUGAGGAGUGAAGGCAGCUCAGAGGAGCAAGGCUGGGAACAAGAGGAUAGUCCAGCUGGCUGGAGGAGGAUGCCAGAGCGCCCUUGGAAGGGGAUACAUGGUGCUGCGUUGCACGCAAGGGUCUGGGCUUCUGAUAAUGAAGAUCUGAGGUUACAGGAGUUACUUGGCUCACCAGCUUGGCAGACUCCAACCCGAAAAGGGAACAAGACCUUGAGAAGAAGCCGAAUCUUGAAAUCUUCCAUCUCCGGUUCAGGCACAGAUUCAGACAACUCAGUGAGGAUAUUUGUGGCCCUUUUUGACUAUGACCCCAUUUCUAUGUCACCUAACCCUGAUGCGGCUGAAGAAGAGCUCCCAUUUAAGGAGGGGCAGAUUCUGAAGGUGUGUGGCGACAAAGACGCUGAUGGGUUUUACAGAGGUGAAUGUGCAGGAAGGGCAGGGUACAUCCCUUGUAACAUGGUGUCCGAAGUGCAGGUGGAGAGUGAGGAAGUGAGGAAGGAGCUGUUAAAGCAAGGUUACAUUCCUGCUGCCACAUCGGUGGAAAGCAUAGGAAAUGGUACAUUUGCUCCACCUCCACGCCGCCUCACCGUCCCUCCUCCGAAACCCAGACGUGCCAAGAAAGCAGAGCUGGAGAAACAGGAAAACUACAAGCUUCAUCCAGGGUCCAGCUGGCAGGACCGUGGGGCUGAUCUGAUCACACCUAGGACCAUGGUGGCUGCUUUUGACUACAACCCUAGGGAGAGCUCUCCAAAUAUGGAUGUGGAGGCUGAGCUGACAUUUACUGCUGGAGACGUUAUCACAGUGUUCGGGUCCAUGGACGAUGAUGGAUUCUAUUACGGGGAGUUAAACAGACAGAGAGGCCUUGUCCCAUCUAACUUCCUGGAAGCUGUCUAUCUGGAUGGAGGAAUGGCUGACGGGCUUCAUUUGGAAAACCAAGACACGUGUGCAGUGAAUGCCGAGAGUCAGCUGAAUUUAGAUGGGCCUGCUGAACAGAAGGACCCCUGGCCUAACAUUCCUGAAGUGCCACCUUCCUGCACUCUCAUCUGUGACCCAAGUCCAGACCAGGCAUCACUAGAGACUCUUGAAUCAAGUGACCUGUCCACUCAGAGUAAAAAGAAAAGAAGCUUCUUCUGCAAGGGGAAAAAGCUCUUAAAGAAACUAGGGCCCAGUAAGAAGAACUAGAAAAGGAUGUUGCUGCUCUCCGUAGGCCUCUCUGCGGAGCCCAGACAGGGAGAUUUCGGACAAGUCCUCUGCAGCAAACUAACCACCGCAGAGUAUUGGAAGAAGGGAAGGUGAACUUUGAUUAUUGAAGACUUGAAAUGGCUCCAACCUUAGGCCUCCUUCACCUCAUCAUCACAUAGAGUCCUGCCGCUGUGGGACUGCACGCUCAGUAUAACGCAUGUCUGGGCAGAGGUAGUGCUGCUGCAACGGGGGCAGUGCUGAAAGGGGCCUGGGAGCUGGGGCGCAGGUACCUCGGAAAGGGGCCUGGGAGUCGGGCGCAGGUACCUCGGAAAGGGGCCUGAGAGCUGAGGUGCAGGUACCUCAGAAAGAGGCCUGGGAACUGGGGUGCAGAUACUUUGCAGUAAUGUGCCCAGAUCCAACCAGCUGUGAACAGCACCAACUCCUUGUAAAUAUUUGAAUUUCAAAGACGAUAUUCUGGCUGUAAUUUUGCUAACCGGCUCUUCCCGCUGAGGCCCGACCCCGUCGGCAGCACUCCUUUGUUGUAAGACUGAGACGCCGUUGACUAGUGUGCCCUGGCAUUUCUCUCUUCCGUUCAGAUUAGGCUGUUGGCGACUCCUCCGCUCCCUGAAAUGUGUUUGCGCUUGAUUCUCUCCCUGUCGAUCCCUUUUGCUGCCUCUGGGCUGAUGAGUUAGACAUUUGUACUGUAAACCUGUAAAUAUGCAGCUGUGCCUAGGAGCAUCCUGUCUGUCUCAGCCGUGCUGCACUGCGACAGUUCACCAAGAAGGAAGGAAUAGAUUGAGGGGAGGGCAGAAGCUUCUGGAAAAUUGGGGGAGGGACAGACAGCGAUAGGAAGGGGAGUAGGGGAUGGUACUGACACUUGGCAAGGAAGGGGCAGGUCAGCCAUCUCCAGGCUGGGAUGGAGGGUACUGGGGGCAUCUGCUGGCUUCCAGGCCCAGUCCUGCCCCUCUGGGUCCCACUUUCACCUCUGCCUCCCCCUCCCCCUGGCAUGCACGAGUUUACACGGGGUGGCACCACCACUGUUUCCAGUGGAAGGGCACUAGUCCCUCCAACCCCCCCGGUUCCAACGGCCAUGGAGUCAGUGCCCCAAAGCGUUUUGCACAGGGGAUACAUUAAAUAGCUUUGCAUCUCCGCAGGGCUGCUGGCAGGGUUAGCAGGAGUCUGCUGGACUAACAUUCCUGGCGUUUGGUUGGUGCAUGGUCAUUGCAGUCAGCCGGGGAUCCCGCCUUAUUUGACCUAUCUGCUUAUUUAACUCUUGACUGGAUCAUUUGGAUGUUUGUGUGAUCCUGACUGUGUGUGUGUCUGGAGAGCGGAGCUGGGAGCAAAACCCCGCCAGCGAGUUUGCAGCUAUUUUCAUAAGAGACAUUGAGAAUGGAUCUCUUUCUAUAGCCAAGGAGAGUUUUGUAAUACAUGGGUCUAUCCUUUAAUGGCAGCGUUCAUUCCUUUGCAUGUUUCAGGUGGGUAUUUGUUUUGAGCAAAGCAGCUACGUUUGGUAUUUCAAUGAUACUCAGGCCACAGCCAUGGGUGUUGGUGGUACAGUAUGUUUGUAUUUAAAAUCAAAAUUUAUUAUAAUAAAAUCUAUUUUCACAAAAAUACACUU